GUAGGGAAUCUUCCGCAAUGGACGCAAGUCUGACGGAGCAACGCCGCGUGAGUGAAGAAGGUUUUCGGAUCGUAAAACUCUGUUGUUAGAGAAGAACAAGUGCUAGAGUAACUGUUAGCACCAUGACGGUAUCUAACCAGAAAGCCACGGCUAACUACGUGCCAGCAGCCGCGGUAAUACGUAGGUGGCAAGCGUUGUCCGGAUUUAUUGGGCGUAAAGCGAGCGCAGGCGGUUCCUUAAGUCUGAUGUGAAAGCCCCCGGCUCAACCGGGGAGGGUCAUUGGAAACUGGGGAACUUGAGUGCAGAAGAGGAGAGUGGAAUUCCAUGUGUAGCGGUGAAAUGCGUAGAUAUAUGGAGGAACACCAGUGGCGAAGGCGACUCUCUGGUCUGUAACUGACGCUGAGGCUCGAAAGCGUGGGUAGCAAACAGGA
rnacentral:rRNA from 1 species